rnacentral:lncRNA from 1 species
UCCCUACCCCAUGUGGGGAAGCAGUGGGCACCCAUAGGGACUCUUACCUAAAUAAGUGGCAUGAAUCUGGGCACAGUAUGGGAUGGGGUGGGAUGGGAUGGGAUGGAACAGAAUAGAAAGCAAAAAAGAGAACCACAGAGCGUCUGGCCGGAGCUCCAGAGAAUCCACCACGCAGCCCUCCUCAGCUGCCUUCCCUUACGGUCGCCUGUGCGUAUUCUCUCUUUUGUAGACGCCCACCUGCCCUAAUACGGAAGCUCCAGAAGGCUCCUUGUUCUGUUCACCAAUGUUGCCCAUGCACCUGGAACACUGAUCAGCACUCAACAAACCCUUCAUAACGAAUGAAGGAACAAACUAGAACACAAGGCAGCUUAAUCGCGUGGUGUGGAGCCAGCAAUCUGUAAAGGAUUGUUGUUUAAAGUGUAAGAAUAGAUCAUUUCAUCCAUAAAACAGGAGUACUUUCUAUUGUAAGUUAUGAAAUAUAUAAAAUUAUUCCUGGAAACAGUUUUACAAAACUACGCAUUCUACAAGGCUCAUUUACUUUCACCCAUACUCAUUCCUUUGCUGAAUUGCCUUUUUUUUAUUUCCCCUCCUUCUCCCUGGGUGCCCUUUCUGUAAGUGCACCGUCUACGCGGGCAGGAAGGCCUGACCCAAGGGCUGUCUCUUCCAAAAAGGCCUUCUGACAACUCAUUUCUCUCCUUUCUUUGUAAUGCUUGAUUUGUACUUCUCUUGAAAGAUUCAUCCUAUUAUAAAUAUUUUUUUAAAAGAUUUUAUUUCUUUAUUCAUGAGAGACCCAGAGACAGAGGCAGAGACACAGGCAGAGGGAGAAGCAGGCUCCCUGCAGGUCGCCCGACGCGGGACUCGAUCCCAGGACUCCAAGAUCACGCCCUGAGCCGAAGGCAGAUGGUUACCCACUAAGCCACCCAGGUGCCCCUAUUAUAAAUCUUAUUAUAGUUAUUUUAGGAAUAUUUAUUGAUUUACUUAUGUAUUUUUUAGCUCCCUAGAUGGCCACCCCAAGGUGCCCUGGCACCACUCACCUGGCCGCAGCGCCUCCAGAACCCUGAG